rnacentral:rRNA from 1 species
UACGUAGGGUGCAAGCGUUAAUCGGAAUUACUGGGCGUAAAGCGAGCGCAGGCGGUUGUGUAAGACAGAUGUGAAAUCCCCGGGCUCAACCUGGGAACUGCAUUUGUGACUGCACGGCUAGAGUGUGUCAGAGGGGGGUGGAACUCCACGUGUAGCAGUGAAAUGCGUAGAGAUGUGGAAGAACACCGAUGGCGAAGGCAGCCCCCUGGGAUAACACUGACGCUCAGGCUCGAAAGCGUGGGGAGCAAACAGG